AUACUUACCUGGCAGGGGAAACACCAUAAUCAUGAAGGUGAUUUUCCCAGGGCAAGUCUUAUCCAUUGCACUCUGGAUGUGCUGACCCCUGCUAUUUCCCCAAAUGUGGGAACUCAACUGCAUAAUUUGUGGUAGUGGGGGACUGCGUUUGCACUCUCACCUG
rnacentral:snRNA from 1 species